UACAGGUGAGAGUUUCCACGAGAUCCUCGCCCAGCCGAGCCUGAGAACCAGCCAGCCUGCAGAGAUUGGUUAGCUGGUCGCCAUCUUCUUGAUAAGUUUCACCUGCUCCCUAGUGUGUGGCUCUCCCGGCAGUCACAGAGGUAGGGGUCUGCAGGGGCAGAACCUGGGACGUGAGAUCCACAAGGGUAUGUUUCAGGUUAUUCUCUGUGAGCAUGGGGACUUCCACAGUGGGCUGGGUUUCACACCACUCAAUUACUUGAGAAGGCUUCAGCACGUUCAGGAAGGGGAGGGAACAGCUCCAGCACUGGUUUGCGCUUGAAGAGAGGCCUGACUCCCUCUUGCUGCUCCUGUGCUGUUUUGUGGGAAAUAAAAGUGGCCCAAGCAGCCCCGAGCCACAUUGUGGAGGUCGAAAAAGAAGCCCAGAGAAAGGAAGAUUCCUGUAGCAGAUUGGGCUUUGGCAGUCCAUCUCCGUGGCUUGAUAGAGUGUCAUUACAGAAUGCAUCUGGAAGACUGUGAAACAGGGACAAACCUCAGAAGACCAAGGUGAAUCUAAGGAAUGGAAGUUCUGGUUCAAGAUGACAGUGUAGAAAGAUCCUGAACUCACCUCCUUCCACAGACACACUGAAUCCAUGCUACAUAUGGAACAACAUCCUUGGAAGAACAUCAAGUGAAUAAAGCAGCUGAGCAGCUCUCGCGUAUCAGGAUUGACAUGAUUCCAGGUACUACCGCUGCCAAUUCCACAACAUCUUGCCUGCUUGCCAUCACAGGAUUGGAAGGACAGUUUUUAAGAGAGAGAAAUCUUUAAUGCCUGCUGGGGCAAUAAGUCGGCUCCUGUGGUCACCUGGGCUUUUCACUUUCUCUGUGUUGGAUCCGACUCUCCUUUUGUAUUCCUCUGUCGUCUUGGUUUGGAACACAGAGCUUCUGAGAUGAAUACCAUGAACCUUCUCAGAUAUUUUAUUGCUGAGACUUUUUCCAUUAUAUAAAUGCUCACAGCCUGUCAUUUAUCAAACACUGAGGAAGCAAAAAUUAAUUACCAAGUAUGACACUAAUUAUUAGGGCUGUUGCUCCUCUGUGCGUGGUAUUUCUCAGGCAGGAAUACUGGAGUGGGUUGCCAUUUCCUCUUCCAGGGAUCUUCCUGACCCAAGGAUUAAACCUGCCUCUCUGGCAUCUCCUCCUUGGCAAGCAGAUUCUUUACCACUGCUCCACCUCUGAAGCCCAAUUAUUAGGGAUCGAAGGAUAAAGAUGGUUUCUUAACCUAUCUUCAAACUCAUCAGAUAAUAAAAUAAUCCUCAGUAAUCUUUUCUGAUAUCCUUGAGAGAACAGAGAUCCAAGACCACAGAUUCCUCAUCUCUCCUAGCCCACUGCUGUACCAGAAUUCUUAGCAUAGGAGGUCAGGGGAUGUUGUAUGCAAAGAGCUUCAACAAAGUAAAACAGCAAGCAACAUUUUUUUAAGAAUGUAAAACAGCAGGAGAGUUUUACAUAUAUUCAUUCAUUUCUUUGCAAAACAACCACAGAAGUGUGAUACCAUUACUAUCUGUCUUACGAAAUGGAAGCACAAGGAAAUUAACCCAGGCUACAAAGUUAGUAAAUUACAACUGUAGUUUGAACUAAUAAAAUACAAUUUGUAUUCUAUCUCAAGUCAAGGAAAAUUUAAACAUAAAACAUCUUCUCAGUCCUCUGGCCUCAUCUCUCCCCUCUACUGGGCAUUGUGUAUUUGCGUUCUGCAUUGACCAAACCGCCCCAUCAGCAGAAAUACCUGCUCAACUACAAAGAACAUUCUCCAGGCAUCAACAAGACAAUUCCUUAGGAGAUAAUCUACCUUCUUAAUCUUGAAAGCAGCAAUCCCCAACAUUUUUGGCAUCAGGGACUGAUUUUGUGGAAGACAAUAUUUUUUCCAUGGACCAGGAGUGGGGGGUUUGUUUUGGGAUGAUUCAAGAACAUUAUAUUUAUUGUGUACUUUAUUUCUAAUCUCAUGCCACUGCUGAGCUCAUAGAAGGUACUGGUCCACAACCCAGAGAUUGGGCACCUCUUUUGUAAGGGACCACAAUGACCCAUAACCCAUUAUUCAUUUUGUACUUGCAGACCUGGAUUGUACAAAUUAUCUACAUGAUUUAAUGUACAGCUAUCUGUCUCAAAACAUGUAUAACUGCGUUUUGAACCCCCAUGAGUGGAACAGUUCUCAGAGCUUUUUGAGAUGUUCCCAGGUUAUAAUCCUCAACUCGGCUUGAAUAAAGUUUUAUAUUUCUUUCUUA